GACGAACCGUGCGAACGUUGUUCGGAUUCACUGGGCUUAAAGGGCGCGUAGGCGGGCGGCAACGUCGGGGGUGAAAUCUCACGGCCCAACCGUGAAACGGCCUCCGAUACGGGCCGCCUCGAGGGAGGUAGGGGCACGCGGAACUUCCGGUGGAGCGGUGAAAUGCGUAGAUAUCGGAAGGAACGCCGGUGGCGAAAGCGGCGUGCUGGGCCUCCUCUGACGCUGAGGCGCGAAAGCCAGGGGAGCGAAC
rnacentral:rRNA from 1 species